rnacentral:rRNA from 1 species
AGCGAACGCUGGCGGCGUACUUAACACAUGCAAGUCGAACGAGGGUCACCACGUGAGAAAUCACGUGGUGGCUCUAGUGGCGUACGGGUGAGUAACACGUGGGUAACCUGCCCUGGAGACCGGGAUACCCUCUCGAAAGGGAGGCUAAUACCGGAUACGUUCCCCACGACCGCGAGGUCGAGGGGAGGGAAGGUGGCGCAAGCUACCGCUCUUGGAGGGGCUCGCGACCUAUCAGCUAGUUGGUGAGGUGACGGCUCACCAAGGCGAUGACGGGUAGCUGGUCUGAGAGGACGACCAGCCACACGGGGACUGAGACACGGCCCCGACUCCUACGGGAGGCAGCAGUGGGGAAUUUUCCGCAAUGGGCGAAAGCCUGACGGAGUGACGCCGC